AUUGAACGCUGGCGGCAUGCUUUACACAUGCCAGUCGAACGGCAGCGCGGGCUUCGGCCUGGCGGCGCGUGGCGAACGGGUGAGUAAUGCAUCGGAACGUGCCCAGUAGUGGGGGAUAGCCCGGCGAAAGCCGGAUUAAUACCGCAUACGACCUGAGGGUGAAAGCGGGGGACCGAAAGGCCUCGCGCUAUUGGAGCGGCCGAUGUCGGAUUAGCUAGUUGGUGGGGUAAAGGCUUACCAAGGCGACGAUCCGUAGCUGGUCUGAGAGGACGACCAGCCACACUGGGACUGAGACACGGCCCAGACUCCUACGGGAGGCAGCAGUGGGGAAUGUUGGACAAUGGGGGCAACCCUGAUCCAGCCAUGCCGCGUGCGGGAAGAAGGCCUUCGGGUUGUAAACCGCUUUUGUUCGGGAAGAAAUCCUCUGGGCUAAUACCCCGGGGGGAUGACGGUACCGGAAGAAUAAGCACCGGCUAACUACGUG
rnacentral:rRNA from 1 species